UGGAACAAUAAAACCCCUGAAUAUAAGGACAUUAAACUGAGAAAUGACAAGUUGACACAAUUAUCUGGAAAAUAUGAUUGUACAUCGAUGGAGCUGAAGAAAAAAAUAAAGAAUUUGCGAUCAGCUUUUCAUCGCGAACGAAAAAAACUACAGGAAAAAAAGAGCGGCUCAUCUCCUAGCAAAAAAGGAAAUGGUUUGCUUAUGAGCUAUUGAGUUUUUUAAUUGACGUCGAUGUACCCAAAACAACAUCGUCAACUGCUGGCAGUGAUGAAGAGGAGGUUGACGUUGACAUGCUGCAUCCACCAUCACAAUCGUCAGUUCCGUCCCCAUCAGCAUCUGGCCCGUUAAAGAAACAGUUUAAGUCUCCCCUGAAGAAAAAAGACAAAAGAAAAAUGGAAGAUCAAAGAGCGGAUGAGGCAUAUGCCAUUUUGCAAAAUUGCAGCAUUGUAUUUGGGGAGUAUGAGCCGGAUGAUCAUCAACCACUUGAUAUUUUGACUAUCCACUCAGAGCCUUCACCCGCAUCUGAAAUGGAUCGUAGAGUCAGCGAUGUGGCAUCCUAUUAUACUUCUUUUUCGGAAGAA